GAGAAGAAUAGAUCCAUUAAGGUUGAUUAUAUUAGAUCGGGCUGGAGCGUAAGUCAAGCUUUCAAUGAAUGCUUGAAAGCUAUUCUAAAACUAGCUCCAUUGUUACUUGUUAACCCCAAACCGGUGCUUGAAGAUGAGCUUGAUGAUCGAUGGAGAUAGCUUAAGGGAUGUCUAGGUGCAUUGGAUGGUACUUACAUUCAAAUUAGAGUUCCAUCUAAGGACAAACCAAGAUACAGGACAAGAAAGGGAGAAAUAGCAACUAAUGUACUAGGAGUUUGUGAUAAAAAUCUUAAUUUUACUUAUGUAUUACCUGGUUGGGAAGGAUCAGCGGCUGAUGGUCGUAUAUUACGAAAUGCUAUAACUCGAACGAAUGGUUUGAAAAUUCCCGAGGGUAAUUAUUAUUUGUGCGACGGAGGAUAUACAAAUGGAAAUGGUUUUCUUUCACCUUACCGAGGAUAUAGAUAUUGGUUAAGGGAUUGGCAAGGCGAAAAUCCACCACCCCAAUGUCGAGAAGAGCUUUUCAAUAUGAAGCAUGCUAGAGCUCGUAAUGUUAUUGAAAGGACAUUUGGUCUCUUGAAAGGACGUUGGGGAAUUCUUAGAAGCCCUUCUUGGUACUCGGUUAAGAUACAUAACAUGAUUAUUAGUGCUUGUUGUUUGAUACACAACUUUAUUCGUAGAGAGAUGGAAGUGGAUUCCUUAGAGACCGAUGUGGAAGAACAAGUAGAAUAUCAACAAGAUAACAUUAAUGUUGUUGAAUCAUCUCA